rnacentral:rRNA from 1 species
AUUGAACGCUGGCGGCAUGCCUUACACAUGCAAGUCGAACGGCAGCAUAGGAGCUUGCUCCUGAUGGCGAGUGGCGAACGGGUGAGUAAUAUAUCGGAACGUGCCCUAGAGUGGGGGAUAACUAGUCGAAAGACUAGCUAAUACCGCAUACGAUCUACGGAUGAAAGUGGGGGAUCGCAAGACCUCAUGCUCCUGGAGCGGCCGAUAUCUGAUUAGCUAGUUGGUGGGGUAAAAGCCUACCAAGGCAACGAUCAGUAGCUGGUCUGAGAGGACGACCAGCCACACUGGGACUGAGACACGGCCCAGACUCCUACGGGAGGCAGCAGUGGGGAAUUUUGGACAAUGGGGGCAACCCUGAUCCAGCAAUGCCGCGUGAGUGAAGAAGGCCUUCGGGUUGUAAAGCUCUUUUGUCAGGGAAGAAAACGGUAGUAAGCGAAUAAAUAAUA